rnacentral:ncRNA from 1 species
UAAAAGCUUGGUCCUGACUUUAGCGUCAGUUAUUACCCAAUUUACACAUGCAAGUCCCCGCAACCCCGUGAGAAUGCCCUCUACCCCCGGUAGGGAAAGAGGGGCCGGCAUCAGGCACGCCACAAGGUAGCCCAAAACGCCUUGCUCAGCCACACCCCCAAGGGAAAAUCGCAGUGAUAAACAUUAAGCCAUAAGCGAAAGCUCGACUUAGUUACGGUAAGUUUUAAGGGCCGGUAAAACUCGUGCCAGCCACCGCGGUUAUACGAGAGGCCCAAGUUGACAUUCUACGGCGUAAAGCGUGAUUAGAGAACCUCAAUUCCACUAAAGCCAAACACCCCUUAAGCUGUCAUACGCUGCCAGGGCACACGAAGCCCCACAACUAAAGUAGCUUUAUUAAACCUGAACUCACGACAACUAAGAAACAAACUGGGAUUAGAUACCCCACUAUGCUUAGUCUUAAACUAUGGCGAAAUAAUACAAAUAUCGCCCGCCAGGGAACUACGAGCAUUAGCUUAAAACCCAAAGGACUUGACGGUGCCUCAAACCCGCCUAGAGGAGCCUGUUCUAUAACCGAUACUCCCCGUUAAACCUCACCACCCCUUGUUAAUUCCGCCUAUAUACCACCGUCGCCAGUUUACCUUAUGAAAGAAUAAUAGUAAGCUAAAGGGGCAUUGCCCAAAACGUCAGGUCGAGGUGUAGCGAAUGGGGUGGCAAGAAAUGGGCUACAUUUUCUGAAAACAGAAUAUUACGGAAAGUGUAAUGAAAAUCGCACGACUGAAGGUGGAUUUAGCAGUAAAAAGGAAAAAGAGUGUCCUUUUGAAGCCGGCUCUGAGGCGCGUACACACCGCCCGUCACUCUCCUCAAAUUACCCCUAAUAAUUAAACAAUAACUGGAAUAAACAAAGAGGAGGCAAGUCGUAACAUGGUAAGUGUACCGGAAGGUGCACUUGGAAUAAU